UUUCCGUAGGUGAACCUGCGGAAGGAUCAUUAAUGAAAUAAAUGUCGAAAAGGGUUGUAGCUGGCCUCUUGAGGCAUGUGCACACCUUUAUCGUGCAAUCUACAUCUCACACCUGUGCACAACCUGUAGCUUGGGAUGAUUACAAUACUGGAAACGGUAUUGAAAGCCCUCGCUAUGAAUUUUUAUACAACCCUAUUAAAAGUUACAGAAUGUUUAAUGUUAUAGCGUGUAACAGCGCAAAUAAAUAUACAACUUUCAGCAACGGAUCUCUUGGCUCUC
rnacentral:misc_RNA from 1 species